AAUUCACGAGUUAAUUUUCACAGAAAAGGAAUUAAUUUCUGUGGCUAACGCUCUACUUUCAAAUGAAAAGGCCCCUUCGGUGAAAUCCAUCUUGGCUAAGAGAUGCGUGUGCACACAUGGAGGAUCCUGAGAUAUUAUAAAUGUGGACUCUGAACCAGGCAAAUGAGAAUGACUGGCCAAAGGAAAGCAGGAAGAAAUAUCCCAUAAAAUAAUUCAAAAUACCACAAGGGUAUGACUCAGCAACUCUCUCUGAGUCCGCCUGUGUGUCUAUCCGUCAACAGCAUCAAGAGAAGAAUAAAGAAACUAAGAUAAGAGACCCUUGUUAAUUAAAAGU
ensembl:lncRNA